rnacentral:rRNA from 1 species
UUCUUGAUUGGAUGGGUGGUGGUGCAUGGCCGUUCUUAGUUGGUGGAGUGAUUUGUCUGGUUAAUUCCGUUAACGAACGAGACCUUAACCUGUUAACUAGUACUCGUGUCCAAAACAGGAGUUACUUCUUAGAGGGACUAAUGGAUUGAAGCCAUUGGAAGUUUGAGGCAAUAACAGGUCUGUGAUGCCCCUAGAUGUACCGGGCCGCACGCGUUCUACAAUGACUUGUGCAACAAGUCCUAUCCUGGCUCGAGAGAGUACGGGUAAUCUUUAUAAUGCAAGUCGUAUUAGGGAUCGAUCUUUGGAAUUAUAGAUCUUGAACAAGGAAUACCUAGUAAGUGUUCGUCAUCAGCGAGCACUGAUUACGUCCCUGUCGUUUGUACACACCGCCCGUCGCUCCUACCGAUUCCGAGUGGUGAGGUGAAAUUUGUGGACCUAGUGGCUCUUGAGGCUGUUGGGGAAGCAACUUAAACCUUAUCACUUAGAGGAAGGAUAAGUCGUAACAAGGUAACC